rnacentral:rRNA from 1 species
GACGAACGCUGGCGGCGUGCCUUACACAUGCAAGUCGAACGGAGUGGCGAACGGGUGAGUAAUGUAUCGGAACGUGCCCAGUAGUGGGGGAUAAAUACGCGAAAGCGUAGCUAAUACCGCAUACUAUUGGAGCGGCCGAUAGGGGAGUAGCUAGUGGGUGGGGUAACGGCUCACCAAGGCGACGAUGCGUAGCUGGUUUGAGAGGAAGACCAGCCACACUGGGACUGAGACACGGCCCAGACUCCUACGGGAGGCAGCAGUGGGGAAUUUUGGACAAUGGGGGAAACCCUGAUCCAGCCAUCCCGCGUGUGCGAUGAAGGCCUUCGGGUUGCAAAGCACUUUUGGCAGGGAAGCGGUACCUGCAGAAUAAGCACCGGCUAACUACGUGCCAGCAGCCGCGGUAAUUC